AGUGCGUGAAAGGGGGGGCGUGACCGCUUGUAAGGGCCUGACAGAGUUGGUCGAGACUGCGGAAGAGGUGAGCUCGAGCAAAGGGCAGUGGAAUUACCAGAGUGGAAAGGAGGAACGUGGGCACAAGGGAGAGACGUGGGUUCAGAGGAAUGAGCUCGAUCCCGGGAUAACAAGGAUGUGGAGAAGACCCGUGGAGAGGCGGGGCCCCGGAGUAGCGCCAGGUCGAAGCGGGGGUGGGUCCAGGCAGAAGGCAGAGGCGGGGCCAAGUUAGUGCGCAAGCGCGCGGCCGCAACUUCAGGCCCGGAGCAACAGCAGUAGAGGUGUAGCCCGGGCAGAGAACGGGUGCAGACCCAGGCUCUGGGUGCAUGGAGAGCAGAUUCUGGCUCCGACGCGGUGAGCGAGCCCAAGGACUUAAACUGCUUUGUCGGAGACCUGGGCCCGGGCGACGGGGACGUGGCUUGACGUAAUUAAGCGAGAUGACGUACCCGGCGUGAGGGGCGUGGCGAAUCGUAACCGGACGUAGCCAAGAUGGCCGCGCGCAUGAGUCUCCUCGGUGCAGAGCGGAGGGGUCCGCGGCCCGGGAAACUUUCGGGUUAUUAGGUUCCUGCAAGUUAUUUGGGGCCCAAUCAAGAUUUCAAGCUAAACAUGGCAGUGAUGAGUAGCCUGAGGGCCAUUCUUCAAGCCUCUCCAUGCAAGUCACUUUGGAGAAGAUACCAGAUCCCCACGUUCAUGCCAGGAAGGCCCUGCAGCUGCACGUAACGAAACCUGGAACCAAGCCUAUGAAGCGAAGCUGAGUGAAGUUAAGUGCUUUCCUGCCAGGUCACAGCGCUGACAGAUGGAGAACUGGAUUGAAAAUCUGUGGACCACACUCUGUGCAGAGCCUCUGAGCUCCUGCAGGCUCAGCAGGUGCAGCCUCCUGCAAGCUCUGGAGUCUGAGUGUUUUAAGGGUACCCAAGAUUUGUUUUAAACAGCUACAUAUCACAGAGAGCUACAGAAAUUGAUGGAUACGGUGCAGUCAAGCAUAAGGACACCCUUGUGGAAUUUGGGUCAUUUGAUCCUUCCUGCCUGAUGCCUGCCUGCCCAGAUUACUGGACCUACUCGGGGUCCUUGACUACCCCUCCACUCUCUGAGUCUGUCACCUGGAUCAUUAAGAAGCAGCCUGUAGAGGUUGAUCAUGAUCAGGUAUGUUCUGUCCACAUUUCUGUAUGAGGAAAUGCUAGUCUGUCCCUUUAAAAACAAGGCUGGGCUCCAACUUUGGCAUCCGUUGUUAACAUCUUGUAAUGCUUAUACAUUUUUAUUAAGAUGUGCUAUAACAUUGUCUCAGUUUGGACAUGAAAUUGGAAAUACUUCAAAUUAACCAGAGAGGAGUUAACACAUAGAGGAACAUAAGCUUUUUGCUCUCAUUUUACAGUAACAUGUGUUUUACUGUAUAUGCAUUGUGCAGAAUCUCUGAAAAUUAAGACCUUUAAAUGGAAAAAAUGAAGGCUGGAAACCCUUUGAUAUUUCUUUAUUCAUUUAUUAUUAAAGUGUAGGUUAUACACAAUGUUAUAUUAGUUUCAGGUGUACAACAUGGUGAUUUGACAAUCCAUAUGUUAUGCUGUGUUCACCACAAGUAUAGCUACCAUCUGUCACCAUACAAGUCUAUUACAAUACCACUGACUAUAUUCUCUGUGCUUUUUAUCUUUCAUCCUCAUGACUUAUUAAUUUCAUUACUGGAAGCCUGUACCUCCCACUCCUCUCACCGGUUUUUCUCAUCCCCCCCAUCCCUGAUAUUCCCUCCCCUCUAGCAAAUAUCUUUUUUUAUAUAUAUUUUAUUUAUUUAUUCAUGAGAGACACACACAGAGAAAGGUAGAGACAUAGGCAGAGAGAAGCAGGCUCCAUGCAGGGAGCCCGAUGUGGGACUCGAUCGCGGGACUCCAGGAUCACACCCUGGGCCAAAGGCAGAUGCUCAAUCGCUGAGCCACCCAGGUGUCCCCCCUCUGGCAAAUAUAAUUCAGAGUUUAUUCUCUGUAUUGAUGCAAAAACCUUAAUUUUCUUAAGAGAACUUACUGUGAAAUUUCAAGGUAAAGACAGAGCCCAACAGUAUCUAUACAGAAAUUUUAUUCUAAGUCAGAGGUUUUGACUUGGUAAUUGUUCUUCAUUUAGAAAUGAAAGUUUAGGGGCACCUGGGUGGCUCAGUGGUUGAGCGUCUGCCUUUGGCUUGGGUCAUGGUCCCGGGGUCCCGGGGUCUAGUAACAUCAGGCUCCCUGCAGGGUGCCUACUUCUCCCUCUGUGUCUCUGCCUCUCUCUCUCUGUGUGUAUCUCUCAUGAAAAAAUAAAUAAAAUCUUAAAAAAAAGAAAAGAAAUGAGAGUUUCAGUGGUGGUUACUAUGUCAACACAAAAUGUUUAAUUCAAAAAUGAACUAACUGUAAUAAUAAUUGCUUUUACUUGUUUUUUUUUUUUUGGAAUUCUGAUUAAAAAAUUUUUACAAGAACAGAAGCUUCCAAGUUCUUUUUUAUGAAGCCAAGACAACAAUGAAACCAAAACCCACCAAAGAUUGGACACUCCCCAAAAAGUAAAUACUAAGCCCCUAAAGUAAUAUCUGUCAAGAAUAUUUAGGAAAAAAACUAAAUAAAAUGUUAGAAUCCACCAGUAUAUUAGAUAGGAUUUUUUUCUAGUAGGAUUUGUCCACAUAGGAUUUUUUUCUAGUUAUAAGGAUCAUUCAGUAUUAGGAAUCAUAUACUUAUG